UACGUAGGGGGCAAGCGUUGUCCGGAUUUAUUGGGCGUAAAGAGCAUGCGCAGGCGGUUUUGUAAGCCAGGUGUGAAAUCCCCGGGCUCAACCUGGGAAUGGCAUUUGGGACUGCAAGGCUGGAGUGUGGCAGAGGAGACUGGAAUUCCUGGUGUAGCAGUGAAAUGCGUAGAUAUCAGGAGGAAUACCGAUGGCGAAGGCAGGUCUCUGGGCUGACACUGACGCUCAUGCACGAAAGCGUGGGGAGCAAACAGG
rnacentral:rRNA from 1 species